rnacentral:lncRNA from 1 species
CGUUUGAGAUGAGCAGGACUCUGUGUCAGGGUGCUGAUGUGGGAAUGAGGGGCUAUUUCUUCCCCCUGGGGCCAUCAUCCAUGUGUCACCCCCUUCUCCUGAACUUCUGUCUGCCUAGAUAGAUAGAUAACAAAGCUCCUACUAUGUGUGCUAGGCACUGGGCAUAAAAAAAAGGGAGGGGGAAGAAUGCAGUUCUUACCCUUAAGAAACUUAAACUUAAGGGGUGGGUGGGAGGGUAUAGCCUCUAAAGGGAAGCUAGAAGGGUAGGGAGAGAGGGGAGGUACCCAUGGGGGCAAGGCAUUGAUCAUGUAGGCAAAAAGCAGUCUGACAGCACCUCGAAUCCCACCUGUCCUUGGGCUGCCGUCUCCAGGGACCUUUCUUCUGGGUGUCACCCCCACUCCCGUCCUCUGUCAGCACUCCGUCUCCUCUCCUGGCAGGACUGUUCCACAGAUUCCUCCAGAGCUGAGCUGGAGGAGGAUGGGAGAGAGAAAGGUCCGGAGAGAAACAGCACUCCCAGAGAGGAGCUGGAACAGCAUCAUGUUGUGAGUCUGAAGAUGCUGGGCUCAAAUCUCCCCCCAGACACCACUGUGUGAUCAUCCUGCCUGUCAACAGCAAUAAAAAACCUCUGUGCCUCA